UACGUAGGGUGCGAGCGUUGUCCGGAUUUAUUGGGCGUAAAGAGCUCGUAGGCGGUUUGUCGCGUCGGCCGUGAAAUCUCCACGCUUAACGUGGAGCGUGCGGUCGAUACGGGCAGACUUGAGUUCGGUAGGGGAGACUGGAAUUCCUGGUGUAGCGGUGAAAUGCGCAGAUAUCAGGAGGAACACCGGUGGCGAAGGCGGGUCUCUGGGCCGAAACUGACGCUGAGGAGCGAAAGCGUGGGGAGCGAACAGG
rnacentral:rRNA from 1 species